UCUCCAAAAUUUUAUUUUUAUUUUUAUUUUUUUCAAGAUCAUGCCACGGAAUUAAUAAUUCAGCUCCAUGCCUCAAAUUACAUCUUAUAGUGACUCAUGGCGACUACAACUCUGCUCUGUUUUUCUAACACUUCAGUUUUUUAAUGGCAAUGACAUGUUUUUGUCUAGUGGAAAAGUUUAGAUAUUCAGAUAUGAAAGGUAUUUGAUGUUGAUCAACACAUGAGUUUGUGUUAUGCUGAUAAUGGAGAAUAUCCAUA
rnacentral:misc_RNA from 1 species